GUGGGGAAUAUUGGACAAUGGGCGAAAGCCUGAUCCAGCCAUGCCGCGUGUGUGAAGAAGGUCUUCGGAUUGUAAAGCACUUUAAGUUGGGAGGAAGGGCAGUAAGUUAAUACCUUGCUGUUUUGACGUUACCGACAGAAUAAGCACCGGCUAACUUCGUGCCAGCAGCCGCGGUAAUACGAAGGGUGCAAGCGUUAAUCGGAAUUACUGGGCGUAAAGCGCGCGUAGGUGGUUUUGUAAGUUGGAGGUGAAAUCCCCGGGCUCAACCUGGGAACUGCCUCCAAAACUGCAUGACUAGAGUACGGUAGAGGGUAGUGGAAUUUCCAGUGUAGCGGUGAAAUGCGUAGAUAUAGGAAGGAACACCAGUGGCGAAGGCGACUACCUGGACUGAUACUGACACUGAGGUGCGAAAGCGUGGGGAGCAAACAGGAUUAGAAACCCGGGUAGUCC
rnacentral:rRNA from 1 species